GCAAGCAUGAACAGGCUUUCUGUUAGCAGAAGAAUUGUGACGAAUAUUCAUGGAUUUAGAUCUGUACAGAGGACUUUAUGCAGUGAUACAGGUGUUAAAAAUCCCAAUUUGGUCAGUGAAAAGAAGCCUUUGGAAAAGCCUGGAUUAACAGAUGACAUACCACAAUAUGAUAUUGCUAUUGUUGGAGGUGGUAUGGUUGGGAUGGCUCUAGCGUGCUCCUUAGCAACUAUGCCAUUGACAAAGCAACUAACUGUUGCCAUCAUUGACAGUAAUCCUGCUUUGAUAAAUAACUUUCACAUCAAGAAAGAGGACCCCCCAGAUCCAAGGGUCAGUACAGUCACACCUGCCACCAUUUCUUUCUUCAAAGAUAUGGGUGCAUGGGAAUUUGUUCAGCAGAGCCGUCAUGCCUACUUCGAUAAAAUGCAGGUUUGGGAUUAUACUGGUCUGGGAUAUACAAGGUACAAUGCAAGAGAUGUUGAUGCAGAUGUUCUCGGGUGCGUGGUGGAGAAUAAGGUGCUACACAAAUCCCUGCUAUCAUGCAUACAGAAUACAGAUUUUCAAAAGACAAUACACUCAUCCAGGUUAAGUUCAAUAACCUUUCCUGCAAUGUCAUCAGUGACGAGCUCCAGUGGCACAUCAUCAUCUGCUAGUGGAAGUUCAGCAAAGUUGGAACUGGAUAAUGGAAACAGCAUGUAUGCGAAGUUAGUGGUUGGAGCUGAUGGGUCAAAAUCAAGUGUUAGGGAGCUGGCAAGAAUACAAACAACUGGAUGGAAGUACUCACAAAGCGCAAUCAUCUGUACAGUAGAACAUGCAGUAGAGAACUUCUGUGCUUGGCAAAGAUUUCUUCCUAAUGGACCAAUUGCACUUCUGCCCAUUGGUGAAAAAUUCAGCAAUAUUGUCUGGUCAAUGGACCCCAAGGAAGCUGUUGACCGGAGUUCAAUGUCGGAGGACGACUUUGUACAAGCAGUGAACCACGCACUGGACGAUGGAUAUGGUCCUCAACCACGGUCGAAAUCAUUUGAGGGUGGAAAUGUAUUUUCUUGGCUCAAAGCUGACAGCACAUCAUCAACACAUGAGGGCUUUGAAGUUCCACCAAAAGUUACGAAGCUAGCCUCUCAUAGAAUGGCCUUCCCUUUAUCUUUAAUGCAUGCUAAUAGCUAUGCAUCAAAACGUUUAGUCCUCAUUGGUGAUGCAGCACACACAGUUCAUCCGCUGGCUGGCCAAGGAGUUAAUAUGGGAUUUGCAGAUGCACUGUGUCUUUCUAAAGUUAUUGCUGAAGGCGUUGCAGUCGGAUCUGACAUUGGGGAGAUAACUCUUUUACAGAGAUAUGAAUCAGAGAGGAAAGCUGCAAACAUUACAAUGAUGGCAAUCCUAGAUGGUUUUCAGAAGGCAUAUUCUAUCGACUUCAUGCCAAUAAAUGUACUCAGGGCUCUUGCAUUCAAUGGGGCACAAUACAUUUCUCCACUUAAAAGGAAGAUCAUUUCAUAUGCCUCUGGCAACCAGAUGCUUCCUCUUUUCACAUGAUGUAAAACUGUUGGAUUUUCCCAAUGAUACUCUUGGUAGAAAUGUCUUAGAACUUCUGUUCAUCGAUAUGAAUAAAUAAUUUUCUUGCAAUAUGUGGAUCCAGAGAAGUAGAA
rnacentral:misc_RNA from 1 species